GUGGGGAGAGCUAUCUGGCAAGGACGCGUCGCUUCAGCCGACCGACCGACAUAUACUAUUAUACUACUCGUCGCAUCGACUUUCCACAAGAAAUUACUUGAAAUUUCAAAAUAAAAAAGAAAAGAAAAAUUCGAUCAAAGGAAAAAUGAGAUAUAACAUUGAUCUCAAAGAUCUGGCCAGUACUUUGAAGCGAUAAUGUCAGGGAUUUCAGAAGCACCGAGUAAUUAACAAGUUGGCUGUUUUUGAGAAGUCUACGAGAAUUCUACGGAAAUAAUUUUGUGAACGAGAGAAGAUAUUCGUUGGUAAAGUAACGCUCAACUAGUAAGAAAAUCUCUUUCGAAAUUAGAAAUGGAAGAUCCAUAGGUCUUUUGAAAGCUUCGAGAGUAUAUUGAUAUCGACGAAACUUGAAAUGAAAUAAGACAACAUAAAUCAGAAAAGAGAUAGAUAGAUAAAUAGAUAGAUAGAUAGAUAGAUAGAUAGAUAGAUAGAUAGAUAGAUAGAUAGAUAGAUAGAUAAAUAGAUAAAUAGAUAAAUAGAUAUAGAUAGAGAAAGAGAGGGAGAGAGAAACAAAGAGAGGAGGGAGAGAAGAACCGACAAGAGGAAAUUGCAAUAUAAAAUAGGAAAUUGCUUGUCCACGAAACGUUUCUGAUAUCCUCACUAUUUUUUUUUUGUUCUUUCGAAAAUAUAAUUCAUAAUUCAUAUAACAGAGCUAUUUCUAAUCACCAAUACACACAUAUGUUACGACAAAAAAACAUUCUUAAUGAAUUUCAAAAGAAAAUUUGAGGUAUGCGAGAUCGUAAUCUUAAUUGGAGCACCAAUGAGAUAACUGAAAAUGUAUGAAAGAAUAAAAUUAUCUUUCAAUCUGUCGCUCUCGUAAAACAGAUAUAUUCACACAUACGUAACAUAGAUAUGACGCGAUGUGUUACUGCGUAAUGUAGUUUUCUUGAUAGAAAUACUCGCGUUACGUUUCCUCGAUGUUUUUGCUUAUUUCGCGUGUAACAUGCGUGUGUACGCGUGUAACAUGCGUGUGUACGCGUGUACUCUGAUGUAUAAGAUUUCCAUUCGCAAAAGAAAUGACUCUCCCUUUCUAUAUCUCUAUUUGUCAUUUUCUUUCUUUCUCUCUCUCUCUUUCUUUCUCUUUCUUUCUUACUUAUCUGCUAUUACGUAAGGAGCAAUAUGACUAAUUGUAAAAUCAAAUUUACAUCGCCAGGAGAUGCUGCCACUGUUGUGUACGCUUUGACAACUUGCAGAAACCGAAGAAAUAUCGAUAAAUGCUAUAUUCAAAAGUAAAAAGUGUAUGUGUAGGUAUGCGUGUGUCCGUGUAAGUGAACAUGCGUGCGAAACUUCAUGCGUCAUUAUGCUAUUGUAAUUUCAAAGAAAUGACAAUGCAUGUAUGCAUACGAUGCAAUUAUUAUACAAAACGAAUGGUAUUAAACGUAAUCGAUCGAAA